rnacentral:lncRNA from 1 species
CUAAAUCCAAGAGUUGGAAAGAGGCGUACUCAUUUGCUCGGGCCACCACAACAAGCAGCACAGGCUGGGUGGCUUAGACAGCGGAGAGUCAUUUUCUCAUCGUUCUGGAGGUUAGAAGUUUGAGAUCAGUGUGUUGGCAGCCUUGGCUUCUUCUAAGUUCUCUCUCCUUGACUUCUUGGCUCAGAGACAGCCGUCCUCCUGCAGUGUCUUCACACGGUCUUUCUUCUGUGUGUGUGUCCUGAUCUCCUCUUCUCAUAAGGCAUGUGUCAUAUUGGAUUAGGACCCACCCAUAUUGAUAUCGACCCUGAUCUCAGUUUCCUCACGUUAAUCCCAGCAUAUAUGGGGUUAAAACCAAACACUCAUUCCCUGCUUACUCUCUGGCUUCCUGGCUCCAGAAUCCACUAUCCUCCAUGGAGACAGACACCGUCAAGGACAAGCACCUGGACUAUCUCCUCCCACAAAGAGAUACAGACUGGUGGGAAAGCUGCUGACCAGCAAGGUCACAGGCUUCCUCCUCUCUGUAAAUGUCUCAAGGCCGAAGACAGGCUGGUUGGGAAAGCUCCGACCAGCAAGGCCAUAUGCUCCCCCUCCCCUACCUAAAACCCCAAAUAGAAACCCUUCCUUUUAGCUUUUCGGGGAGUUUGGGAUUUCAGCGUUAGCUGCCCUCUCUCCUUGCUCAGCACUGUGCAAAAAUAAAGUUCCUACUUUCUUCCACCACCCCCGGUGUCAGAGAUUGGCUUGCUGCGCAACGGGACCGGCUGGAAAUAAUGGGUACCCUGGCAGCCCUCUGGGCUCCAUUUGUUUUGAAGUUGCCCGACGCCCCGGCCAAAUUUUGAGAAAUUCAUGGAAAGGACUCUGACACUCUGGAAUACAGGUUUCCAGUAAACGUUCAGAUUGUAAAACUAAACUGGAGUGAAGAAAACUUUUUUUCUCUAUUCUCUGAAAGAACUAUGACUUGCAACAAUUUAUAAACAAAAUUGAAACAUUUGUCUUUUCCUCCCUAUCUGAGCCCCCCAAAACGCAAAAACUUCUGAUAAGUAAGUAUUCUUAUUCUUAUGGCAAUAUAGUUGUUUGCAUAAGUGCAAUAAGAAUCUGUUCUUCUUUCAACAGGACACAAUUGGAAACAGUGGUUAUAUGACCAAGGCUUUGACUGGAACAUCGUGUUUGAAAAAACAUACGGGCUUGACUAUAACAAGACAGCUUUUGAGGAAUGAAGGUUGACAUUCUGGAAUAAAGCCACUUGGAAAUAUUGGCCUGGUACUGUGCUUAUGGGUUCUGUAACCUGGUAAGGUUGAGCAAAGAAUGUCACUCCCUCUGGCAGGUACCAGGAACCUCAAUAUUUUGGGGAACCUCACGAAGAGAGAGAUUCACCCAAAUCUGCAGGUCCUGCAGGCAGAAUGUGAUACAGGUCCUUUGCUUGGCUUUCCUUGAGAGGCCUUUAAAGAUCAACCUGAGGUUCCAUAUAAGGUUCCAGCAAAGCAGAUUUAAAAGAGCCUAUAUGAUCAGUUACUAUUCUUGCUGUGCUUAUGUAAAUAAUUAUGCCAAAUUUAUUAAAACUAUACAUUUUGCAAACCAGAGUGAAAUAGAGGGUGAUUUUACAGGGGAAGAUUAUAUUUCAAUAGACACUAUAAUACAUGUUUAUAGAUAUUAGACUUUAGUUUUUCCAAUUGUCUUUGAAAUUUUUAUUUUACUUCUGUUAACUGGACUGGAUCUUGAAUUCUUCACCUCCUGAAAUAUCUGGCUAAAAACCUCCAAACCGAGAUUUUCAGGGUUUUUCCCCCCAUUAUUUUCAUUUAGAGUCAUUGAAAACUAAAUCUGCCCUUUUUCUAAAGCCUUACAAACUGAAGCUGGAGGACCUAAUAGAAACUUCAGAGAGAUUCAUGUCUGCAGCUGUGUAAGCCACUCAAAAAGCUACCUGAGUGCCCGAUGACACCAUCUGAGACAUUUCAAACUGCAGAAGAUGCUUCGACCCUGACUUCCAGGAAUCUUGAUUGGCUGCCCCCUGGGCUCAGAAACUGGUUUAUAAUUUGCUCCAACGAUUAACCUUGUUUUUCUCUUUUUGUUUCUCUAGAAAAUCUUCUUAUUAAAUACCUGGUUACUUACUUACAUGAUACAGGCCUACCUUCAGGAGCCCACCAGCAUCACCGCCUUAUUAAAAGACUGGUUCAAUGAGAUGAAACGACCUAUGCCCCAUUUCAGCAGGAAGUAGCUAGAUCCGUCGCCGCCCCAAAUCCCUCAAGAUUGAGGGAGGACAUAAAAUAGGGGGGAGUUGAUAUCGACCCUGAUAUCAGUUUCCCCACAUUAAACUCAGCAUGUAUGGGGUUAAAACCAAAACACUCAUUCCCUGCUUACUCUCUGGCUUCCUGGCUCCAGAAUCCACUAUCCUCCAUGAAGACAGACACCGCCAAGGACAAGCACCUGGACUAUCUCCUCCCGCAAAGAGAUCCGGGCUGAUGGGGAAGCUCCAACCAGCAAGGCCAUAUGCUCCCCCUCCCCUACCUAAAACCCCAAAUAAAAACCCUUCCUUUUAGCUUUUCGGGGAGUUUGGGAUUUCAGCGUUAGCUACCCUCUCUCCUUGCUCAGCACUGUGCAAAAAUAAAGUUCCUACUUUCUUCCACCACCCCCCGUGUCAGAGAUUGGCUUGCUGCACAACGGGUGAGGGAACUCACUUCAUGAUUGGUAACAACAUGACCUCCUUUCACCUCAGUUACUUCUUCAAAGGCACUGUCUUCAAACACAGUCACAGGCUGAGGUACUAGGAGUUAGGACCUUGUCAUAUGAAUUUUGAGGGGGACACAAUUCAG